UUUCAACGAAUUUCUCACCCUCCAAUAACAAAGACCACACUUCAUUAUUAUUUGAGGACCACAUAAAUAUUUAAUUAGCUAAAAAAUUUAACAACUUUUUUUCGCUAAAGAAAGAACCAAUAACACAAACCCUCGUCAUUGGCCACUCACAUUUUUCUGCUUCACACACUACAAACAAUGAAAAAGAGGAUCUUCCUUUUGAACUUAUAUUACUGAUUAAAACUCCACAAAAACCACCGAUCUGCAAUUUCAAGCAACCUCCGGUACACCCAACAUAUACACCACCGUGGUCCUCUCUCUAUCCAUAACAUCAUUCCAAUAAACACAAACCCACAAAUAGAUCCAAACCACCAGAUUCUUAACCUGACCACCAAUCGCGGCCAACAUCACCAUAUAACUUCCCCUUUACACCAUCGAAAACCACCGCAAUUUCUAGAUCCGGCCACCACCCUUCACAACAAAGCAUCACAACAUCAACUUUCCAGCAUACACGCAUCAUCUCAUCUAAUCCCACCUUACAAACUCACCACCGACAAUCGUCAAAACAACCGGAGUCUCAACCUCCACAACCUAACAAUCGCCAUGAGUCAAUCACCACUACCACGUUUUCUAUCCAUCGUGAAGUCCAACUCAAUCUCAUGGCCUUCUUGUCGUAACACCCAGCUCAAACAUCUUUCAUUAAUGAGCCACAUCUUGUUGUGUUUGUUUUAGUCUUGCAAUAUUUCCAUGAGCUGCUUGUAGAUCUGAUGCGUUUGUUUUGUUCAAACUCGGUCAUGAUGUGUAGUCGAGAAGAUAUCUCAACAGGAAAACAUUUCGGAAUCAAUGACAAUCAACGGUGCUAUUAAAAUAACAAUUUGUCAUAACCGCAUCACCAUGAACAAAUCAACAACACAAUGUAAAAAUAUUUCAACUCCUUUUCGCUCACGAUUCUGACGGUAACAACACAUUGAGCGCAACCGACUUUAACAUGAGUUCAUUACGGUCGGUACUUUGAGUUUAUGCAUUUGCUUUUUCAGUUGGAAUUUGGAUUUACAGUAUAAAUUUUAACGUCGUUUCAGUUCUUAAAUAUAUAUGAUUUUUUGUUUGAGUUUUUGAUACGAAUAUGUUACUGUUUUUUAAGUUUUCACAUACGGAGUAUGUAUAAAUUGUUAUAGUUUGAGUUUAGAUACAAA
rnacentral:lncRNA from 1 species